rnacentral:rRNA from 1 species
UGGGGAAUAUUGGACAAUGGGCGCAAGCCUGAUCCAGCCAUGCCGCGUGAGUGAUGAAGGCCCUAGGGUUGUAAAGCUCUUUAACCGGUGAAGAUAAUGACGGUAACCGGAGAAGAAGCCCCGGCUAACUUCGUGCCAGCAGCCGCGGUAAUACGAAGGGGGCUAGCGUUGUUCGGAUUUACUGGGCGUAAAGCGCACGUAGGCGGACUUUUAAGUCAGGGGUGAAAUCCCGGGGCUCAACCCCGGAACUGCCUUUGAUACUGGAAGUCUUGAGUAUGGUAGAGGUGAGUGGAAUUCCGAGUGUAGAGGUGAAAUUCGUAGAUAUUCGGAGGAACACCAGUGGCGAAGGCGGCUCACUGGACCAUUACUGACGCUGAGGUGCGAAAGCGUGGGGAGCAAACAGG